UACGGGGGGGGCAAGCGUUGUUCGGAAUUACUGGGCGUAAAGGGCUCGUAGGCGGCCAACUAAGUCAGACGUGAAAUCCCUCGGCUUAACCGGGGAACUGCGUCUGAUACUGGAUGGCUUGAGUUUGGGAGAGGGAUGUGGAAUUCCAGGUGUAGCGGUGAAAUGCGUAGAUAUCUGGAGGAACACCGGUGGCGAAGGCGGCAUCCUGGGCCAACACUGGCGCUUAGUGAGCGAAAGCCAGGGGAGCAAACGGG
rnacentral:rRNA from 1 species